AACCCGUGAUGUGGACAAGUACUUAACAGAUCCUUGAACCUCUCCUAAGAAGCUCAAAAAGUCUCGUCACCCUUCUGCAUAAAUUGAAUAAUCUGUUUCUACAAAAAU